UUACCUGGCCUUGACAUACUAAGAACUUUCCAGAGAUGGAUUGGUGCCUUCGGGAACUUUAGAUACAGGUGCUGCAUGGCUGUCGUCAGCUCGUGUCGUGAGAUGUUGGGUUAAGUCCCGCAACGAGCGCAACCCUUUUCCUUAUUUGCCAGCGGGUUAAGCCGGGAACUUUAAGGAUACUGCCAGUGACAAACUGGAGGAAGGCGGGGACGACGUCAAGUCAUCAUGGCCCUUACGGCCAGGGCUACACACGUGCUACAAUGGUCGGUACAAAGGGUUGCUACCUCGCGAGAGGAUGCUAAUCUCAAAAAGCCGAUCGUAGUCCGGAUCGCAGUCUGCAACUCGACUGCGUGAAGUCGGAAUCGCUAGUAAUCGCGGAUCAGAAUGCCGCGGUGAAUACGUUCCCGGGCCUUGUACACACCGCCCGUCACACCAUGGGAGUUUGUUGCACCAGAAGUAGGUAGUCUAACCGCAAGGAGGACGCUUACCACGGUGUGGCCGAUGACUGGGGUGAAGUCGUAACAAGGUAGGCGUAGAUGA
rnacentral:rRNA from 1 species